GUGGAUAUAGCUCAGUGGUAGAGGGCAUGCUUAGCAUGCACGAGAUCCUGGGUUCAAUCCCCAGUACCUCCA
rnacentral:tRNA from 1 species